rnacentral:rRNA from 1 species
AUUACUAGAGCAAAGGAUAGACUCUAACCCUACUUCGGUAGGGUUUAGAGUCGUCGGGCCUCUCGGAGAAGCUCGGUCCUGAACUCCACCCUUGAAUAAAUUACCUUUGUUGCUUUGGCGGGCCGCCUCGUGCCAGCGGCUUCGGCUGUUGAGUGCCCGCCAGAGGACCACAACUCUUGUUUUUAGUGAUGUCUGAGUACUAUAUAAUAGUUAAAACUUUCAACAACGGAUCUCUUGGUUCUGGCAUCGAUGAAGAACGCAGCGAAAUGCGAUAAGUAAUGUGAAUUGCAGAAUUCAGUGAAUCAUCGAAUCUUUGAACGCACAUUGCGCCCUCUGGUAUUCCGGGGGGCAUGCCUGUUCGAGCGUCAUUAUAACCACUCAAGCUCUCGCUUGGUAUUGGGGUUCGCGGUUUUGCGGCCCCUAAAAUCAGUGGCGGUGCCUGUCGGCUCUACGCGUAGUAAUACUCCUCGCGAUUGAGUCCGGUAGGUCUACUUGCCAGCAACCCCCAAUUUUUACAGGUUGACCUCGGAUCAGGUAGGGAUACCCGCUGAACUUAAGCAUAUCAAUAAGCGGAGGAAAAGAAACCAACAGGGAUUACCUCAGUAACGGCGAGUGAAGCGGUAACAGCUCAAAUUUGAAAGCUAGCUCUUUUAGGGUUCGCAUUGUAAUUUGUAGAAGAUGCUUCGGGUGUGGCCCCGGUCUAAGUUCCUUGGAACACGACGUCAUAGAGGGUGAGAAUCCCGUAUGUGACUGGGUGCUUUCGCUCAUGUGAAGCUCUUUC